rnacentral:rRNA from 1 species
CCUACUGGUGACUGCAGUGGGGAAUAUUGGGCAAUGGGCUCAAGCCUGACCCAGCAACGCCGCGUGAAUGAAGAAGGCUUUCGGGUUGUAAACUUCUUUUCUCCUGGACGAAGCAAGUGACGGUACCUGAGGAAUAAGCCACGGCUAACUACGUGCCAGCAGCCGCGGUAAUACGUAGGUGGCAAGCGUUAUACGGAUUUACUGGGUGUAAAGGGCGUGUAGGCGGGACUGCAAGUCAGAUGUGAAAACCACGGGCUCAACCUGUGGCCUGCAUUUGAAACUGUAGUUCGUGAGUACUGGAGAGGCAGACGGAAGUCCUAGUGUAGCGGGGAAAUGCGUAGAGAUUAGGAGGAACACCAGUGGCGAAGGCGGUCUGAUGGACAGCAACUGACGCUGAGGCGCGAAAGCGUGGGGAGCAAACAGGAUUAGAUACCCUAGUAGUC